AUUGAACGCUGGCGGCAUGCCUUACACAUGCAAGUCGAACGGUAACAGGUCUUCGGAUGCUGACGAGUGGCGAACGGGUGAGUAAUACAUCGGAACGUGCCCGAUCGUGGGGGAUAACGGAGCGAAAGCUUUGCUAAUACCGCAUACGAUCUACGGACGAAAGCAGGGGACCGCAAGGCCUUGCGCGAACGGAGCGGCCGAUGGCAGAUUAGGUAGUUGGUGGGAUAAAAGCUUACCAAGCCGACGAUCUGUAGCUGGUCUGAGAGGACGACCAGCCACACUGGGACUGGGACGUGGCCCAGACGCCUACGGGAGGCAGCAGUGGGGAAUUUUGGACAAUGGGCGCAAGCCUGAUCCAGCAAUGCCGCGUGCAGGAUGAAGGCCUUCGGGUUGUAAACUGCUUUUGUACGGAACGAAAAGGCUCUGGUUAAUACCUGGGGCUCAUGACGGUACCGUAAGAAUAAGCACCGGCUAACUACGUGCCAGCAGCCGCAGUAAUAC
rnacentral:rRNA from 1 species